rnacentral:lncRNA from 1 species
GGACUCUACAGAAUUCCCCAAUAUAGUAGGUAGUGAAAUCCAAACUAUAAAGCACAUUAAGUACAAUUCUUUAUCUAUCUUGAUGAUUCCAAUUCUCUAUUUCAUUCUAAAAAUUCAAAUAACCAGAUUUCACUUGUUUUAAGGUACGAGCAGAUAUGAAACAAUAUCAGGAAGAAGGAUCUACCUUCACUGCCCUGAAACUCAGGAUAAGAUACUAAACAUUCUUUUCAACUUAGUUUAAGAUACAGUACACGGAUAAGGUAAUUACAUACACUUGGCAAUAUAAUAAAGUGACUGACAUCUUUAUUGGGAGAUAAAAAAAUUAUUCCCUCAGGGUGGGGCAUCUGGCUAAAGACUUGUCAGUAUGCUUUCCUGUAUAAUUUAGAUCUCAGAAGCAGAAAAGGCGUUUCAAAAACAAAUCAAGGAAGCUCCAUCAAGCGGUAAAAAUCGGGUCUGGGGGAGACAAUGAGACUGGAGCGUUGUUUUAAACACCCGAAAUCCUCGGAUCUCCGAAGAGAAACUUAGCUGGGCUUUCUUCUAAUUAGCUAAAGAGAAAGUGAAAUACUGGCGUUCCCAGUGAGCUCCUCCAGUCCAGUGAUAUUUGCACAUCACACCAGGACCUUUCGGUUGCAAAUCUACCUCCUUAAGGAGCUGUGUGAAAAAGCAAGAACAAUCAAUAAGAAAAAAAUCCUCUCAGCUAUAAAUCAGCCACGUGGAGCUGCUGCUGCUGCAGCGGUAGCCCUGACUUCCUGGUUUGCUUCCUGCAAGCCUUGCGGCUGGGGGCUCCGGGCAGUGGGUGUAAGAAAAGCAGGGGGCGUGGGGGGAGGGGGCAGCCUAGAACCGCUCCAGGGCCGCCGGGGGACGGGGACGGGGGCGGCGGGCCGGGAGAUCCUGAAGGGCACGGGCGUUAAGGACAGUUACGGCCCAUAAUUAAAUAAAAGUUCGGGAAUCUGGAAGCUUUAAGAGCUGAGCUGUGGGGCAAAGGCUAAAGAGCAGAAGUGGGGAAAGUGUAAGUUAGUUACAGGGGCAUUGCGAAGGGGGUGCGUGUGGACAGUGUGGACAGAAGGGGACUGCGGAUCUGGAAGGGGGCAGGUAGAGAGAAAGGACGCUUAGAAGAGCCAGGCUCCCGGGCCACUCGGCGCUCUGCGGAGGCCGCCGGGGGGAGGGGGGCGGUGGCGGAGGAGCGCGGGCCGAGCCUGC